rnacentral:lncRNA from 1 species
CGCGAACUUAACCACUCGGCCACGGGGCCAGCCCCUUCAGAGCGCAAGCAAAUAUUGACUGAGUUCCUACAAGUGCGCAUAAAUGGAUCAUGACGGGAGUGGAACUCCAAGCUUCAUACAGGGAAGGCUUGUGUUCUGUCAAUGACCUAGAGCCUCUAGGAAUUAUUGCUUUGUUUGUGUGCAACUUGCAUCUCCCUGCCUAUUUUUGCUACAUUGGGCUUUAUACCCUCUAUCCUUCCAACUUACUUGGCAAAAAAUGCCAAAUGCUAUGCGUUUUCCCCUUUGUCAUUUUCUGAAAUUCUGUUUGUCGUAUAUUUAAUUUACAUUGUUC